UACGUAGGGGGCGAGCGUUGUCCGGAUUCAUUGGGCGUAAAGAGCUCGUAGGCGGCUUGGCAAGUCGGGUGUGAAAACUCCAGGCUCAACCUGGAGACGCCACCCGAUACUGCCAUGGCUUGAGUCCGGUAGGGGACCACGGAAUUCCUGGUGUAGCGGUGAAAUGCGCAGAUAUCAGGAGGAACACCGGUGGCGAAGGCGGUGGUCUGGGCCGGUACUAACGCUGAGGAGCGAAAGCGUGGGGAGCGAACAGG
rnacentral:rRNA from 1 species